UGACAAACGCUGCAUUUAAUGUAGAGGAAAGUCCAUGCUCACACUAUCCUGAGAUGGUAGUAGUGUUCGUGUAAAGGGAAAAAAUAACCUUUAGUAGUGUAAACUAACGGCGUCGAAUUAACCUAAGUCUUUGAUAUGGUUAUAUUAGACAUAAAGUGCCAAAGUGACGAUGCUAUAUAGAAAUAUGUAGAGUGGAACGUGGUAAACCCCGCGAGUGAGAAACCCAAAUUAUGGUAGGGGAACUUGAUGAAGAGAAAUGAAUCUGAUUCGGGAUCAAUAUUGAUAGAUAAAUGUUUGUCGCUCAUAUGAGUUACAGAACAUGGCUUAUAA
rnacentral:RNase_P_RNA from 1 species